GGGGGCCCCCCAGCGGUGGAACAUGGGGUUUAAUUCCAAGCAACCCCCAAAACCUUACCAACCCUUGACAUCCCCUGACCGGCCUGAAAACAGGUCUUUCCCCCAAGGGACAUGUGAACAGGUGCCGCCUGGCUGUCCUCCGCCCGUGUCGUGAAAUGUUCGGUUAAAUCCCGCAACCAACCCCACCCACACCCUUGGUUGCCAGCACGUAAUGGUGGGCACUUUAGGGAAACUGCCCGUGAUAAGCGGGAGGAAGGUGUGGAUGACGUCAAGUCCUCAUGGCCCUUACGGGUUGGGCUACACACGUGCUACAAUGGUGGUGACAGAGGGUUUAUCCCCAACAGCCAUCUCAAUUCCGAUUGUCGUCUGCCACUCUACGGAAUGAAGUCUGAAUCUCUACUACUCGCGCAUCGACUCGCCGCGGUGAAUACGUUCCCGGGCCUUGUACACAC
rnacentral:rRNA from 1 species